GUACUUUUUGAUGAUUCACGUGUUUCCUGGUUAGGUGUCAAGCCAUGGUAAUAUUGUUAAGUAUAUGAGAGGAGCCUUUGUUUUUUUACCUCCACUGGUGUAGCCUAUAUUAAAUUACCAGGAAGUGGGUUUCCACAGCCGGCUCCCGCUUGGCUCGAGGCAGAAACCGAGUUCUCCCUGUAUUGUUAAUGUUUCAACACAUCUCUCCCAACACACACAACUAGUGUAAUAACAAAUGGACAAAAUGAAAAAGGGAGGCUGGUGGGGGGCUCAGGGAACAGACAACAGGCGCACUUGAAAAACAAGGGAGGGGUGUAAAAACAAAUCAGUAAAAGGGGAAUAAGAAGAGAAUCUGUGGUAUUUAACAGCUAGGACAAGCCGGUGCCACACAAACUUCUUAGAAAAACGUCGAUAGCGAGUCCAUGUUAAAAAAUAGAAGAAAGGACUUCCUGUGUUUUUACUGUAGGCUAUGUAGGACUUUAACACCCAACGGGAAGAGAAAAGUAAAUCAACAAGAAGAAAAACUGAGAAGGAAACGAGGAGAAAUGAAAACACGAAAACACGAAGCCGAAGGUGUUUUACAGGUUUUAUAUUCUCUCUUCACUACCUCUCACCAUCUCUCCCUCCCUCCCUCUCUCUCUAUUUUUUAUUAUUCAGGACACUACCCCCCUUCGUUUAUGGCUACGUAAGAUUUAUGACUUCUACCACACAGGACUAGCUGUAAACAGCUACUUUAAAAAGAUGCAUUUCGUGUGGGAACUUGAAUAGAGAGGAUCACCAACCGUGUAGGAAGAAGGUAGGAGACAAAAAUGUAGGUGUCUGCAACUUUAUCUGCCUGACAUUGUUCUGGAUUUGCAACUACUGCUAAAUGGACAAAUGCAACCCACUUAAAAUAUUACUAAUUAACUAAAAACCCAAACACUCCAGUCUUUUGUAUCUACAACUGGUCUUUUUUUCACGACUAAGUACAUACCGGGAGAAGACAAGUUCUUUUUUUCUGUUAGUUAUGGCAAGAGAAGAGUCUUUACCAACAUGAUUUUUGGGAUUACAACAUGCCGGUGCUUGUUAGAAGAUUGAGGAAGAGUAUUUUCGUUAUUUUCAUAGGAUGACAAGAGAUGCAUCGUCUUCCUGAUAUAUUGGAGUUGACUGAGUCAUGGAUAUACUAUUUCAACGGUGGAAUAUAUGGACAGAUUUGGGGUGCCAAGGUUUUCCUUUUUCCUGCAAUGAACAUUGCAACCAACAUAUUACAUAAAGAGACUACAAACUCCAAUGAGAAAUUUCGUUGGGAUUUCCUAUUUUGUUAAAUGAGAAGGAAAGCUUUUUAGGGGGAAAGUGUUUUGAAUGUUGUGUAUUUUUUUUUUUUUCAAGGGUAAAUGCUUGUGAUUGUGUGGUGAAUAUGCCAUUGAGUGUGAAUAUAUUGCAUUUAAAAUGUAUUCAGCAAUUGUCUACUGUAUUCAUAUGACAGACCCCUUACAUUGAAAGACAUAGCCUAUCUAUUUAUAUAUAUUGAAAGUGUUCGUUUUCUAUUUUGGACAAUAGGACAUUGCCACCUCUGUGCCUAUUUGACUAUAUAUUACACUAUGGCAUUCAUUGAAUCAUCGAAAGAAGAGAGCACAAGCAAGCACAAGGACACACACACACACACACACAUGCACCACCAUUUUGACAAUGAUUUUGAUUCAUCUGUGGUGCUUUAUGCACAUAGGCAAAGAGAUGUUUAUUAUUUUAUUUUUUUAAAAGCUCAUACUUAUAUUCCACUGCCUCAAAAAUAUAUCACAAGCCAUUCUCACAGGCUACAUGCAUGCCAUACUAGAGAAUAUUAGAAUAAACACUCUUGGCAUAGGAAAUGUUUACCGACUAUGUGAAUGUCAUAUGCAGACCAAAUCAUCAUUGUUGAAUGUAUGCGAUGUAUGCAUACUUCAUUCCAAUAAAAACAUAUUUACUUUCAAAUA